GGGGGUAUAGCUCAGUGGUAGUAGAGCAAUCGACUGCAGAUCGAUAGGUCCAUGGUUCAACUCCGUGUGCCCCUU